AGUAGAGACGGGGUUUCACCAUGUUGGUCAGGCUGGUCUCAAACUCCUGACUUCAGGUGAUCCAUCCACC
ensembl:miRNA